rnacentral:misc_RNA from 1 species
UACCCUUGACAUGUCCGGAACCCUGCUGAAAGGUGGGGGUGCCCGAAAGGGAAUCGGAACACAGGUGCUGCAUGGCUGUCGUCAGCUCGUGUCGUGAGAUGUUGGGUUAAGUCCCGCAACGAGCGCAACCCUUGUCCCUAGUUGCUACGCAAGGGCACUCUAGGGAGACUGCCGGUGACAAACCGGAGGAAGGUGGGGAUGACGUAGUACACCUGAAC